rnacentral:rRNA from 1 species
CCCUUAGAUGUUCUGGGCCGCACGCGCGCUACACUGAUGCAUUCAACGAGUUUCUUCCUGGUCCGAGAGGAAUGGGUAACCUUUUGAAAGUGCAUCGUGAUAGGGAUAGACUAUUGCAAUUAUUGGUCUUCAACGAGGAAUUCCUAGUAGACGUAGUUCAUCAGACUGCAUCGAUUACGUCCCUGCCCUUUGUACACACCGCCCCUCGCUCCUACCGAUUGAAUGCUCAGGUGAGCCAUUCGGACUUUCAUCAUGCUGGUUUCCAGUUUUGAUGAAGGAAAGUCUUGCGAACCUUAUCAUUUAGAGGAAGGAGAAGUCGUAACA